UACAGAGGUCUCAAGCGUUGUUCGGAUUCAUUGGGCGUAAAGGGUGCGUAGGCGGCGCGGUAAGUCGGGUGUGAAAUCUCGGAGCUUAACUCCGAAACUGCAUUCGAUACUGUCGUGCUUGAGGACUGGAGAGGAGACUGGAAUUUACGGUGUAGCGGUGAAAUGCGUAGAUAUCGUAAGGAAGACCAGUGGCGAAGGCGGGUCUCUGGACAGUUCCUGACGCUGAGGCACGAAGGUCAGGGGAGCAAACAGG
rnacentral:rRNA from 1 species